CCUACGGGUGGCUGCAGUGGGGGAUAUUGCACAAUGGGGGAAACCCUGAUGCAGCGACGCCGCGUGUGGGAAGACGGUCUUCUGGAUUGUAAACCACUGUCCCCAGGGACGAAAAUGACGGUACCUGGGGAGGAAGCUCCGGCUAACUACGUGCCAGCAGCCGCGGUAAUACGUAGGGAGCAAGCGUUGUCCGGAAUUACUGGGUGUAAAGGGAGCGUAGGCGGGGAUGCAAGUUGGGUGUAAAAACUACCGGCUCAACCGAUAGUCGCACUCAAAACUGCAGCUCUUGAGUGAAGUAGAGGCAGGCGGAAUUCCUAGUGUAGCGGUGAAAUGCGUAGAUAUUAGGAGGAACACCAGUGGCGAAGGCGGCCUGCUGGGCUUUUACUGACGCUGAGGCUCGAAAGUGUGGGGAGCAAACAGGAUUAGAUACCCGUGUAGUC
rnacentral:rRNA from 1 species